AACUCUUGAAGCUGCCACGCAGACGGUUUUAAAAGACGCAUUCCAACAGCAGGAGAUCAGACUGUAACUUUCUUCUUUCAGAGUCCAACAUGUCUUCAGUAUCUGAUGACCGGUAUUCCCUUGAACUGAUAACACUCAUGAAAGUGAAGAGGGGAGAUCAUCUUGCUGUUGAAAGUAGUGAUGGCAGAUAUUACCACCAUGGUAUAUUCAUCGGAGAUGGAGACGUCAUUGAUUAUGGGGCAGAAAACAAGAAGCUCAUCUCAGGACAAGGAAUGAUUCGUAAAAUGCCACUGAUUAAAUUUGUUGGAGGUGAGAUGGUGUACAGAGUAAAAUACAACAAGGCUCUUAAAAACAAUCCAGAGGAUGUGGUGAAAACAGCUGUCCAGCUGUAUGAAGACCAAACAUGUUGGAGUGUGUACGAUCUGCUGAACAAGAAUUGUGAACAUUUUGCCACUUUCUGUAAGACAGGGAGAGCUUUCUCUCUUCAAGUAGUGAAGAAGAUCAAGGCUUUGUUUGCAGCUGCAGCUGCUUCGUCUGCAGCUUCGAGUUGCUUGUCAGGAAUAUAGUUUCAGCAUGUUAUUGUUCAUAAAUUGUGUCUUUGAUUUUGCAGAAAUGAUGGAAUGAAAUAUUUGGAUAAAAAAGUGUGAAGAAUAUGUGAAUAUUCUGAAAAUGUGGCAUGAUUUAUGCUCAUUCAAAAUGUAUUGGUAGAGUGAUCAAAGAACAUAAUGAAAUGACUAAAAUAAUGACAUGUAUGUGCAGCUUUUUCUGAACCAUAAAUACACACCAAAUGUAUUAUUACUGUUGUGUACUAUCGUUAUUACAGUUCAUUACUGAAGCUAUACUUACUUCCUAAGUGUAGCACCUGGUGCCUUUUCAGAAACAAAAUAAGUCUGAAUGCCAUUAAAUGUCAGUCAU